AUGAGAGUUUCCCCUGGAGCAACACGACUGGCAAUGAGAGCCGCGACGACGCCUUCAAGAAGAGAACGAGUUUCGCUGCCGCCGGUCUGGCCGAAGACAGAGCAGGUUUUCACCCCGGCCAACACUCACCGCCAUCGAACGCCACACCCCGGCUAUCACGCCGCCCACACAGCCAUGGCCACCGGGCAGCAUCAAUCCACGGGCUCUGCCCAAGAGCGCCGCACUACCACCACCAGGGCCGCCACCCCGGCAUCCAAGACCUUGACACCUCCACACCCAAGACCCGCCGCUACCCCAACCAAAGAGACGAGCGGAAAGGCCCCGCCUUUCGCACCCCUGGACGGCCCCCAGCGCCGAGACCCAAUAGGUCGGCCAAAAUUGGCCACCAUCGACCCGUCCUGCUGCAUCGGGCGCAAGACGAGCACGGUCCUGCAGCCGGGCGCGAACCGAGCAUGGUCCUGCAGCCGGGCGCGAGACAAGCACAGUCCUGCUGCCGGGCACGAGACGAGAUCGAUCCAACAGCCGGGCACAGGACGAGCUCGAUCCUGCUGCACCGGGCGCGAGACAGGAGAUGGUCUGCAACUGCGAGAGAGCCAGCCCUUCGACGAAAGUAGUGCCCGAGCGCCGAGGGAAGGGAUCGAAGGCCGAAACAGUCCACCUACAAACGAGCCGACGCCGACGAAGAAGCCAGCCGUCACUGCAGCCGGGACCGCCAAGCUGUCGUGUAGACACGAGGCAUCAUGGAGGCCACACCAUACCUCCGAGCGCUGCCGUAUCCCGCAACCAGAGCAGCCACCACGCCGGGCCGCUGCCCUACUCCGCGUCGCUCGCCGGGACCAAGCGAAAGGCCCGACAAAACACGCAACCACCAGCCACACCUCAGCCCGCCAACCCCGCCGCCAAAAGACGCGCCGCCGGGAGGUGCAACCCCACGGGACCUGCCUGAAGCCCACACGCCGCCACCAUGGCUGCACCAGCGCCUGGCCAAGGGCAGGCAACCGCAGCCAACCCCGCCCAGCCAGAGGGCCAGCCCAAGGACGGCCUCGUACGACGCAGACCACGCCCCCCGCCACCUGCGCCCAGCCGCUUCGCAGCCGCCACCGCCCGAAGGCUGUUGUGUUAAACUUGUCUCCGAAGGCUGCAUGUCGGCAGCAUGCAUGCACCAGUAGUAGCAGAUUACUUAGCUAUGAAGGCAGUAGCAGUAAGUUGGCAAGAUCAUUUUAA
rnacentral:rRNA from 1 species